rnacentral:rRNA from 1 species
CAGCGCGCGGUAAUACAGAGGGUGCGAGCGUUAAUCGGAUUUACUGGGCGUAAAGCGUGCGUAGGCGGCUUUUUAAGUCGGAUGUGAAAUCCCUGAGCUUAACUUAGGAAUUGCAUUCGAUACUGGGAAGCUAGAGUAUGGGAGAGGAUGGUAGAAUUCCAGGUGUAGCGGUGAAAUGCGUAGAGAUCUGGAGGAAUACCGAUGGCGAAGGCAGCCAUCUGGCCUAAUACUGACGCUGAGGUACGAAAGCAUGGGGAGCAAACAGGAUUAGAUACCCGUGUAGUCCCUGUCUCUUAUACAA